GACGAACGCUGGCGGCGUGCUUAACACAUGCAAGUCGAGCGCUGAAUCCCGGGCGUUUGUUGGGUGGGAGGUGUGGCGAACGGGUGAGUAACACGUGAGUAACCUGCGCUCUUCUGUGGGAUAACGCCCUGAAACGGGUGCUAAUACUGGAGAUACACUGGCCUUCGGCUGGGGGUGGGUGGGAAGGGUGGUGCUGGUUGGGGAUGGGCUCUCGGCCUAUCAGCUUGUUGGUGGGGGGAUGGACUACCCAGGCUUUGACGGGUAGCCGGCCUGCGAGGGGGACCGGUGAAAUUGGGCCUGAGAUACGGUCCAGAGUCAUACGGCAGGAGGCAGUGGGGCAGAUUGCACAAUGGGCGAACGCCUGAUGCAGCGACGAGGCGUGAGGGAUGGAGGCUCUUGGGGUGUAAUCCUCAUUCGAUAACGGUCAAGCCGCAAACGGGCGUUGUGGUGAGGGUAGUGGGUAAAGAAGCCCCGGCUAACUACGUG
rnacentral:rRNA from 1 species